GCGUGUUAUUCAAAAUCGUAAGCAUUCGGGUUUCAUUUUUAUAGGGAAGAAUCAUACCGACAAGAAGAUCGAACUCCUUUCAAAGGCUUACGAAUAAAAAUGGCCCGCGCGCCGGUGUCGUUUGUAAUCUGAUUUUGCUAUAUUAAUUGGCGUUCCUAUCAAAUAUUGAAACGAUGCAGUGGCGACGACGAUUAAGAACCCGUAAAGAAUUAGGGUUUUUUUUGGAGAAGAUGAACAGCUUAUGGAGUACAAAAGUUUCGACAUGUAGAAUUGAUUUCGUGGUGAUGGAAGGUGAAUAAGCAAAGCAGAAUCACAAGAUUACAAUAAUGAGGAAGGUUGUAUAAAAUUUUGACAGCGAAUAGGCGUUUUAGAGGUAUAAACAGAAAGCAGUGAAAAAUUAUUUGCUGUAUAUUAACCCGAUGGAUUGAAAUGUGUGAAUGCAUAUGGUAGUUUGAAGAGAUGCAGAAGAAUUAUCGAUUGAAAGCUUUGAAAACGCUGAUGAAGAAAACAAUUUUAGGGGAUCGAUAUUUAUAUGUAUAAUGACAAGUAGGAACUGGUAAUUUCGAGAUUUGAGGCAAGGAGUGGGCGGGAAAAGAAGGCAGAUCAUAGCUGUGGUAGUGACACGUGGAAUGAAGGAGGUUUAAGAGAGGGACACGUGGCUUCUAGGAGAGGUUUUUAUUCAUAAUGGAGAUUUGAUCAAGGGAGUCAAGAGGGAAUUAAUUCCCAAUAUCUUUCUUUUUUUGUUUAGAUAAAAGCAAUUCAAUUUUAUAUCAGCAAAAGCGUAUGUUUACGAUGUAAAGGGAAAACAAAGAAAAAUAGAUCUAAAAAAUUUGAUGAA